UAAAGAGUACACCAAAAGGAGACCAAAAGGACGCAUGGUGGCUUCAGUUCCUCCCUCUUCGGCAGGGUUAUAGGCUGGUGGCGGCGCGUUCAACCUGGUUCUCCGCUGAGGCACACACACACCCACCACCGAACCGUUGCCGCUGCCUGCCGUCAGCGAGGCGCUGCGGUCAAUAUAAUAAGGUUUAACUCCCCGUGGUAUAUACGUUAGGGAGAUGCCUUCCUCUUAUUUAAGAACGUUCACAAACACAUAAACCCUUUAUUUUUUACAUACCGCUCAGAUCGUUUGUACUUUUGGAACUCACGUAUGAUGUUCUAGUUUCACGUUUGGGUUCACAACAUAGUGACUUAAAAAACUUUCUCUAGUGUUUGUUGAAAAGGCUACUCGCUCAUGAGCCAUUUCCACCAAGAUCACACCAUAUAUUCCCACACGAUGUUUCACCCCUUUAUUAGCGACACUUCUCUGAACUCGGUAGUUACCGACCAAGAGUCUCAAAUAAAGUCUUGCUCCAACUAGUAGAAUACUCCGAAGUUGUGGGUUUAUAACACGCUAAAGCCCCGAUGACGGUACUUUGUCACACCAAUAUAUGUCUUAAGCUUCCCGUUUUUCAAAAACGACUCUAGAGUCUUUACAACGAAACGAAACUCAUAGAGGGAUUUCCUUCGGAACUACACGUAGAAAGUCCACCUAGGAGACUUAAACUAACCGUGUGCGCGAUGUUUUAUUAGCUCCCCUAAACGUUACCGAAUGUGAUAGAAGUGCUGGUUUAACUAUUCAGAUAAGAAGUGAACCUGGAUUUCGGGCGCUUGUAUAACGAACUACUGUUAAACCGUGGGUUUUAAUGUCUAAAACCCGACAGUUCUGUCAAACUAGUCGCAGUUUGAUACAGGAGAGGUUUAGCACAACCAUGUAAUCCGAUGUACCGAGGCCUUGCGUAGCUACUUCCGUAUUAGUGUGGAUUCAGUCUGUAUAAGUCAAACCCACACUAUUAUUACCUCUAUUAUUGCCCUGUGUCCGUGAUGGGUCCACAAAGACCUUGUAGAAGGCUCCUGAAAUAACUCGAACUUGAAUUUUUUACCUCUUUGUGUAACCUCUUUCGUGUCCCCAUGUGUUUAGAUCUUUACCUAACGCUUGUCUAUUUUUCUACGUAAGUCUAUCCAGAUUAGACACACUUAGGACUCACCUGGCUUUCCGGAUGUUGUUGUUUUUAAUAGUUCUACGAAGUUCCUAACCUUUCAAACCUAGCAUUGUAAUCGCUACUCCAUCUCAGUAGCCGUCUAGUCUAGAGUUUACCUGAGUUUUUCGUGUCGCUAACGAAACCCCAAUGACUUCUUCCUUUCGACAGAGGAUUUUUAUGUAAUACAUAACCCUAUAACCUCGUUCGACUUUCUUCCCUUGGUCUUGAACCCCUUCGUAGCCAAAGAGAACGUUACCGACCACUGACGGAUGUACCUUUCAACAACAUGGAACUUUUGGCUCAACGAAACCGCUACUAUAACAAGGGUCGGCUCCGUUCUCAUCGUUACCUUCAACGAGUUCACUUACCAUGAAACCUUAAAUGGGAACCAAGAUCACGUUUAGGUGAAUGCCUCUAUGUUGCCUGUUGGAAACUAGAUUUACUUUGAGGAAAGUUUUACUUCCUACACAUGAAUCGAGCCUACUCUCACGAGAGGUUUUGUCAACUUGAACCGUUUGCGAAGAAGGGCGCAACAAGCCUACACGACCUCUUCUACUACCUACUACUUGGUCCCGACCGACGGGAGCCUUCGCUAAUGUUGGAGACUCUACUUAUCCAAAGUACUGGACGGUCUACACGAAGUCUUCCGCAAGUGACGUCCAUUCGCCUUCGUCGUCUCGUCGUACCGCCUCGUUCUACACCAUCUCGUCCAGGUCCCCGUCCCGCGGCACCGACCAUGACUGUUGCCCUCAUCCUCCUAACGAACUAGCGGGCAACGAUAUCUAACCAUACCGUAAUCACGCAUUUGAAUGAAAGGAGGAUUGCCUAGUUGACACUAUGUCUUAAACUUCGGCACUGCUACAUGAAUAUAACGGGCAUUCAACGGGCAUACACAAGCACGACGACGGCGGAGAGCAGGUACAUUUUAAACCUGGUUUGGUAUCAAAAUAGUCAAGUCAAACAACGGAAAGAACCCGCACGAAGCCAAUACGAAGGACAGUAGAAAACCUACAUUGUUAUCAAAGACCACCAUCGACGUCAAACAAUCUAUCGACCCUGGAACCAGAACCGUUUGUUCUGACUUGGAACAAAAAAAAAAGUCGUUACUUUAUAAAACCCCCGAGA
rnacentral:rRNA from 1 species